UCGAUGAUUCUGCAUUGAUGUUUGAGAGU
rnacentral:sRNA from 1 species